rnacentral:rRNA from 1 species
UGUAAGCGUAUACCAAAGUUGUUGCAGUUAAAACGCUCGUAGUCGGAAUUUGGCAGUUCCGGAAGUGUGCACGUCGUGUGCGCACUUUGCGGGGACUGCUCUUGUGGUCUUGCGUAGGAUGAGGCACUUUCAUUAGUGAACGUCCUCACGCAACCACUCUUUACUGUGAGAAAAUCAGAGUGCUCAAAGCAGGCAUUUGCCGUGAAUGUAUUAGCAUGGAAUAAUAGAAUAGGACUCGGUUCUAUUUUGUUGGUUUGUUGGGACUGAGUAAUGAUUAAGAGGGACAGUUGGGGGCAUUUGUAUUCCGGCGCUAGAGGUGAAAUUCUUAGAUUGCCGGAAGACAAACUGCUGCGAAAGCGUCUGCCAAGGAUGUUUUCAUUGAC